rnacentral:ncRNA from 1 species
UUGAUAAAGGCAAACUUAUGGAAACGUAAGGACGCAAAGCUACGAGUCUAAAGUCAAUGAGACAAUGAUCGUCGGGCCGCCAA